rnacentral:rRNA from 1 species
AUUGAACGCUGGCGGAAUGCUUUACACAUGCAAGUCGAGCGGCAGCGCGGGGCAACCUGGCGGCGAGCGGCGAACGGGUGAGUAACAUAUCGGAACGUACCCAGUCGUGGGGGAUAACUAUCCGAAAGGAUAGCUAAUACCGCAUACGACCUGAGGGUGAAAGCGGGGGACCGAAAGGCCUCGCGCGAUUGGAGCGGCCGAUAUCGGAUUAGCUAGUUGGUGAGGUAAAGGCUCACCAAGGCGACGAUCCGUAGCUGGUCUGAGAGGACGACCAGCCACACUGGAACUGAGACACGGUCCAGACUCCUACGGGAGGCAGCAGUGGGGAAUUUUGGACAAUGGGGGCAACCCUGAUCCAGCCAUUCCGCGUGAGUGAAGAAGGCCUUCGGGUUGUAAAGCUCUUUCGGCAGGAACGAAACGGUGGUCCCUAAUACGGGCUACUAAUGACGGUACCUGAAGAAGAAGCACCGGCUAACUACGUG